UUGACGAUCUUUCUUAGCCAGGCGGUUAAUGGCGCAGCCGGCUGCCCAGCCAGGCCGAAGGAGAUGGAGGCCAGUAGAAUUGGCCAAAGUUUGGCUUUUGGCCAGGACAGCGGCAAGAACUCUGAGGAGGCCGAUGUGGAAUGGACGAGCAGCGGCCGCAAGAAGUUUGUCAGAACAACAAUCAGCAAUACGCCCGCUCCCUGGAAUCCCUCUGUCUCCUCCAGGCCAGAGGAGGAUUAUCUAUGAGCUCUGCCAUAGUGAGCUGUAGCUAGACCUCCGGGGAGCUGGGGUAGAGGCAACUCGGCUCAUUUUCCUUCCUGCUUGGUCCACUUCAUUCCCAUCUGAGCAUGUGUGUCUGCACGUGAUUGCGUGCCUGAUUGCGUGCCUGCUUGCGAGUCUGAGUUUGAGAGCGCUUCGUACUUUUCGGUGUAGGUGGGAAAACCUAGGUGUCGACGUAUGUGUGUGUUUGUCAGUUUGAGCGUGUGAGGGUGAGAGCCUGGUGGGGGUCUUUGAUGUGGGUUUGAACAGGUGAGCCUGAGAUCCCGGUGAGGGACUUUUUGUGUUUGUACAGGAGAGUGGGAGGGCCUGGGUGAGCGUCUCUGUGAGUUUGAGCGAUUGAGUGUGAAAAACCAGGUGGGUGUCUGUGUAUUUGUACGGGCAUUAGCACAGGAUUCUGGUGUGUGACUUUGUGCUCUCCCCCCAUCUCUCUUUGUCUAGUUCUCCCUCCUUGUUGCCUCCCCUUCACUCCCAAAGCUUAGGGAUGAUGCCAGUACGUUACACUGCGUGUCCAGGGUAGUGCUUAUGGUGUCAUAGGCGUAUGUCCCCCCAUCCCUGCAAACCAUGUCCAAGUUCCAUUCAGAGCUCCUGAGAAUCUGGUCACUUCCACUCACACCCUUAGGGCAUCACAUUUACAGUAUCCCCAAGUCCCAAGGGGAAGAAACCUAAAGUUGUGGUCAGUACUGCUCCCCGCUUCCAAGUCACCAAUGUGGCCUAGCUGGGGGCUCUGGUGGUGAUUGGGAAAUAGCGGGCUUGUGAGGCUGCAGCGAAGAAAAGCAGAGAGAAAUUGGGAGGGGUUGUGUCACUUUGGGGCACCCAAGCUUGCCCUUGGGUAGCCUGUCUCUUACCCCAGUUUUAAAAAAAUGAUUUUAAGAUGAGAGGGAUGAUUUCUAAGCUAUUCUCAUUAGGUACAGAUGCUGGAAAACAUAAAAUUCCCAUUGGGUUUGAGAAACCAAAAAUUUGUAAUCCUAAGAAAAUAACUUUACCUCUGCCAAAUUUUCCUUUAGGAAGAAAAAAACAUUUAAUUUCCUUAACAUA